rnacentral:rRNA from 1 species
GAUGAACGCUGGCGGCGUGCCUAAUACAUGCAAGUCGAGCGAACAGACGAGGAGCUUGCUCCUCUGACGUUAGCGGCGGACGGGUGAGUAACACGUGGAUAACCUACCUAUAAGACUGGGAUAACUUCGGGAAACCGGAGCUAAUACCGGAUAAUAUAUUGAACCGCAUGGUUCAAUAGUGAAAGACGGUUUUGCUGUCACUUAUAGAUGGAUCCGCGCCGCAUUAGCUAGUUGGUAAGGUAACGGCUUACCAAGGCAACGAUGCGUAGCCGACCUGAGAGGGUGAUCGGCCACACGGGAACUGGGACACGGUCCAGACUCCUACGGGAGGGAGCAGUAGGGAAUCUUCCGCAAUGGGCGAAAGCCUGGCGGAGCAACGCCGCGUGAGUGAUGAGGGUCUUCGGAUCGUAAAACUCUGUUAUUAGGGAAGAACAAAUGUGUAAGUAACUAUGCACGUCUUGACGGUACCUAAUCAGAAAGCCACGGCUAACUACGUG